AAAAAUAUGAAAAAUCUCCCUUCCCUUCACAAACGUCCAACUCCCCUCUCUCCCCUCAUUUUCCCCCACCUCUCUUCCUCCUUCGUCCUCUCUCUCUCUCUCCCCCCUCUUUCACGCAAGCCGUCCACCGGUCACCAACGACCGUCAAAUUAAACCUCCAGAAUCCUCUUCACGUCCUCUUUCCAACCCCCAAGUUAGUUUCUACAAAUUCGUAGCCGAAUUUCGUCAAUUUCAGAUCUAAGAAGCGGUGGCCGCGGAUUUUCCGACAAAUUUUCGGCCAAACCUGCCGGAAUCGAACCUCGACCCAAGAGAUUGGGACGAGGAAGUGAAUCAAGUUUGUUUCCAACCUGGGCCGAGAAGAAUUGGACCCGCCCACGUAUGGAUUUUUUUUGUAUGCAUGUCAAAGAUUGGAUUUUCUUUUUGCUUAAAUUCAUCCUAGUGUUACAAGUAGCUUCUGGAAGUUUAUGGAAGAGCUUAUGAAAAGAUUCACAUCCGUUUUACUCGUUUAAACUUGAAGUAGUUAAUUGUCUUAUUUUUCAUUUGGGGCGCUUGGUUCCACUUUGUUGUCCUGGAAUGUAUGACGGUAGUUGAUGAAUGUGCUGUGCAUGUGGGUAACCUGUAAAUUCCAAGUGUUCAUAUAUAGUACAAAAAUAUUCUAUUUGCCAUCAAGCUAAGAAUGCCCCUCAUAAUAACUUAUAAGUAUAUAUUUGUGUCUGAUUUGUGGUUCUCAUAAAAUUAUACGAAAUUUACAAUAUUGUAUGUUUACAUGCAAUUUCUCUAUGUGCAUGAACACUUAUGUGGAGGCGGUGGGUCGGGUUUGGGAAGAUCGGUGGAUGUAGAGCCUGAAUCGGAAAUCACGUUGGUAAAAUCAGAGAUUUGGAAGUACCACCAAGCUGGCCUUCCUAUUUGGACGUUCCACGCUUUGAAGAUUUAAGUAUCACCGACAAGCUAGCCUUCCUAUUUUGGACUUAUUUUGUUUUGAAUUCGACUAUAUCUGUUAUGGCUUUUGAUGAGGUGCAAGGCUUGUUGGGGAAAAUGCAUUUGUCCAAAAAUAUGUGCUUUCAAGUUUUAUUGUAUUAGAGAUAAAGUAUGUAACAUUACAUUAUGUUUGUGAGAUUGGGAAUGUGUUGUAGGCCUUUUCAUUUUAAAAAAAUUAAGGUUUUUCAUUU